GGCGGAAAAACUGCAUAAAAACAGAUAGAUUUAGCGGAAUCACAAUCCGCGUGUCGGGGGUUCAAGUCCCUCCUCCGCUACCA
rnacentral:tRNA from 1 species